rnacentral:lncRNA from 1 species
UGUGAGUUCGUGGUCUAGUGGUUAAGACCGAUGGCUACAGUGCUGAAGGUCCCGAGUUCGAUUCUCACUCGGGGUGCUAAAAAUAUCAGUACAUCAGAAGGGUAAUUUUCACCCUCUCACACACAUCUCUGGUACCCACACCGGAGUUUAAACUAGAAUGGGUACUUUGGGGGCCUCGGUUGGUCAAAGUUGUCCCCUACUUUGACCAGGAGAUCAAUCUUCUGAUAUCUCUCUGGUUUGUCUGUUUCCACCGAGUGACCCGGUGGUUCUCUCCGAGUACUUCGGCUUCCUCCACCAUAAUAACAGACUUCCCGGUGUCCUACACGCUCCCUUGGGCGGUGUUGGGUGGGGAUUGUUCUGGUGGUGGGAUAAUAUUGUAAAGGACACAUCUCCAUUAAUCUUUAGGGAGUGUACAUGGAUCCGCUGUACCCUUGCAGUCAAUCAAGGGGUGCGUCUACAUUGGCGGAAUCUCGAGUACAUACAUACAUUG